GAUGAACGCUAGCUACAGGCUUAACACAUGCAAGUCGAGGGGAAACGACAUCGAAAGCUUGCUUUUGAUGGGCGUCGACCGGCGCACGGGUGAGUAACGCGUAUCCAACCUGCCCAUCACUUGGGAAUAACCUUGCGAAAGUAAGACUAAUACCCAAUGAUAUCCCACGAAGGCAUCGGAAUGGGAUUAAAGAUUUAACGGUGAUGGAUGGUGAUGCGUCUGAUUAGCUUGUUGGCGGGGUAACGGCCCACCAAGGCAACGAUCAGUAGGUGUUCUGAGAGGAAGGUCCCCCACAUUGGAACUGAGACACGGUCCAAACUCCUACGGGAGGCAGCAGUGAGGAAGAUUGGUCAAUGGGCGAGAGCCUGAACCAGCCAAGUAGCGUGCAGGAAGACGGCCCUAUGGGUUGUAAACUGCUUUUAUAAGGGAAUAAAGUGGGUCACGUGUGACUUUUUGCAUGUACCUUAUGAAUAAGGACCGGCUAAUUCCGUG
rnacentral:rRNA from 1 species